rnacentral:rRNA from 1 species
GACAGAGGGUGCAAACGUUGUUCGGAAUUACUGGGCGUAAAGCGCGUGUAGGCGGCUUUUCAAGUCGGGCGUGAAAUCCCACGGCUCAACCGUGGAAGUGCACUCGAAACUGCAGAGCUAGAGUCCUGGAGAGGAAGGUGGAAUGCUUGGUGUAGAGGUGAAAUUCGUAGAUAUCAAGCGGAACACCGGUGGCGAAGGCGGCCUUCUGGACAGUGACUGACGCUGAGACGCGAAAGCGUGGGGAGCAAACAGG